rnacentral:misc_RNA from 1 species
GUCGUAACAAGGUUUCCGUAGGUGAACCUGCGGAAGGAUCAUUACCACACCGAUCCAAGAUCUUUUUCACCGCGAACCGCGGUCCCAUGGAAGCUGGUUGGGUUUGUCGGGUGGGCGUUGUAACGACGCCGGCUCGACCGCCUGCUGGUGGGACUGCACCCUGAAUGUGCUGUGUUCUAUUUGACUGCAGCGCGCUCCGUCACUUUACGACGUUAACCGGUCUUGACCAAACGAACUGAACCAAAAGGGUUGGUUGCGACUGAUGCCGGUAACAUGGCACAGGAGCACUGCCCAUGUAAACAAAAUACCUUACAACUUUCAGCGAUGGAUGUCUAGGUUCCCA